CCUACGGGGGGCAGCAGUGAGGAAUAUUGGUCAAUGGACGAGAGUCUGAACCAGCCAAGUAGCGUGAAGGAUGACUGCCCUAUGGGUUGUAAACUUCUUUUAUAUGGGAAUAAAAUGUUCCACGUGUGGGAUUUUGUAUGUACCAUAUGAAUAAGGAUCGGCUAACUCCGUGCCAGCAGCCGCGGUAAUACGGAGGAUCCGAGCGUUAUCCGGAUUUAUUGGGUUUAAAGGGAGCGUAGGUGGAUUGUUAAGUCAGUUGUGAAAGUUUGCGGCUCAACCGUAAAAUUGCAGUUGAAACUGGCAGUCUUGAGUACAGUAGAGGUGGGCGGAAUUCGGGGUGUAGCGGUGAAAUGCUUAGAUAUCACGAAGAACUCCGAUUGCGAAGGCAGUUCACUGGACUGCAACUGACACUGAGGCUCGAAAGUGUGGGUAUCAAACAGGAUUAGAUACCCGGGUAGUC
rnacentral:rRNA from 1 species